GAUUAAGUUAUUAAGGGCGCACGGUGGAUGCCUUGGCACUAGAAGCCGAUGAAGGACGUUACUAACGACGAUAUGCUUUGGGGAGCUGUAAGUAAGCUUUGAUCCAGAGAUUUCCGAAUGGGGAAACCCAGCAUGAGUUAUGUCAUGUUAUCGAUAUGUGAAUACAUAGCAUAUCAGAAGGCACACCCGGAGAACUGAAACAUCUUAGUACCCGGAGGAAGAGAAAGAAAAUUCGAUUCCCUUAGUAGCGGCGAGCGAAACGGGAAGAGCCCAAACCAACAAGCUUGCUUGUUGGGGUUGUAGGACACUCUAUACGGAGUUACAAAGGACGACAUUAGACGAAUCAUCUGGAAAGAUGAAUCAAAGAAGGUAAUAAUCCUGUAGUCGAAAAUGUUGUCUCUCUUGAGUGGAUCCUGAGUACGACGGAGCACGUGAAAUUCCGUCGGAAUCUGGGAGGACCAUCUCCUAAGGCUAAAUACUCUCUAGUGACCGAUAGUGAACCAGUACCGUGAGGGAAAGGUGAAAAGCACCCCGGAAGGGGAGUGAAAUAGAACCUGAAACCGUGU
rnacentral:rRNA from 1 species